rnacentral:rRNA from 1 species
UACGAAGGGGGCUAGCGUUGCUCGGAUUUACUGGGCGUAAAGGGCGCGUAGGCGGACAGUUAAGUUGGGGGUGAAAGCCCGGGGCUCAACCUCGGAAUUGCCUUCAAUACUGGCUGUCUUGAGUGUGAGAGAGGUGUGUGGAACUCCGAGUGUAGAGGUGAAAUUCGUAGAUAUUCGGAAGAACACCAGUGGCGAAGGCGGCACACUGGCUAACUACUGACGCUGAGGCGCGAAAGCGUGGGGAGCAAACAGG